rnacentral:miRNA from 1 species
CACACUUACUUGUAGAGAUU